rnacentral:rRNA from 1 species
AGCUAUAAUUUACUUGAUGUUGACCUACUUCGUGGAUAACUGUGGUAAUUCUAGAGCUAAUACAUGCACCAAAGCUCCGAUUUUUGACGAGCGCAUUUAUUAGACCAAAAACCGAUCGGGUGCAAGCCCGACGCUUUUGGUGACUCUGAAUAGCUAUAGCUGAUCGCACGGUCUCGGACAAGCGACAUGUCUAUCAAGUAUCUGCCUUAUCAACUUUCGAUGGUAGUUUAUGUGCCUACCAUGGUUGUUACGGGUAACGGAGAAUAAGGGUUCGACUCCGGAGAGGGAGCCUGAGAAACGGCUACCACAUCCAAGGAAGGCAGCAGGCGCGCAAAUUACCCACUCUCGGCAUGAGGAGGUAGUGACGAAAAAUAACGAGACCGUUCUCUUUGAGGCCGGUCAUCGGAAUGGGCACAAUUUAAACCCUUUAGCGAGGAUCUAUGAGAGGGCAAGUCUGGUGCCAGCAGCCGCGGUAAUUCCAGCUCUCAAAGUGUAUAUCGUCAUUGCUGUGGUUAAAAAGCUCGUAGUUGGAUCACUAUCUGGGGCCUCGGUAUGACCUGCUUUCUUGUCUAUACCGGGUUGUCCCAGCUAUGCUUAGUGCUGGUUUUCCCUGCGUUGCCUUAACCGGCCGCGUAGGGUGGCUAGCAGGUUUACUUUGAAAAAAUUAGAGUGCUUAAAGCGGGCUUUAAGGCCUGAAUAGUGGUGCAUGGAAUGAUGGAAUAGGAUCUCGGUUCUAUUUUGUCGGUUUUCUGAACAGAGAUAAUGGUUAAGAGGAACAGACGGGGGCAUUCGUAUCGCUGCGCGAGAGGUGAAAUUCUUGGACCGUAGCGAGACGCUCUACUGCGAAAGCAUUUGCCAAGAAUGUUUUCAUUAAUCAAGAACGAAAGUCAGAGGUUCGAAGGCGAUCAGAUACCGCCCUAGUUCUGACCGUAAACGAUACCAACUAGCGUUCCGUCGAUGGCAAACACGCCUCGACGGGCAGCUCCCCGGAAACGAAAGUGUUUCGGUUCCGGGGGAAGUAUGGUUGCAAAGCUGAAACUUAAAGAAAUUGACGGAAGGGCACCACCAGGAGUGGAGCCUGCGGCUUAAUUUGACUCAACACGCGAAAACUCACCUGGUCCGGACACCGUAAGGAUUGACAGACUGAACGCUCUUUCUUGAUUCGGUGGUUGGUGGUGCAUGGCCGUUCUUAGUUGGUGGACUGAUUUGUCUGGUUUAUUCCGAUAACGAGCGAGACUCUAGCCUAUUAAAUAGAAAUUGAAUUGUUAAUGUUCGAUGUACUUCCUAAAGGGACUAGCGGUGUUUAGCCGAACGAAGAAGAGCAAUAACAGGUCUGUGAUGCCCUUAGAUGUCCAGGGCUGCACGCGCGCUACACUGGGGGAGGCAGCGUGCUGUAACCUAUCUCGAAAGGGCUUGGUAACCCCUUGAAAGUUCUCCAUGAUUGGGAUCGGGAAUUGCAAUUAUUUCCCGUAAACGAGGAAUUCCUAGUAAGUGUGGGUCAUCAGCUCACGUUGAUUGCGUCCCUGCCCUUUGUACACACCGCCCGUCGCUGCCCGGGACUGAGCCGUUUCGAGAAAAGCGGGGAGCACCGGAGUAGAUGCCGUUAUGGCAGAAACACUGGUGUAAACCGCUUUAAUCG